rnacentral:rRNA from 1 species
GACGUAGGGCGCGAGCGUUGUCCGGAUUUAUUGGGCGUAAAGAGCUCGUAGGCGGUCUGUCGCGUCUGCUGUGAAAACUCGGGGCUUAACCCCGGGCCUGCAGUGGGUACGGGCAGACUAGAGUGCGGUAGGGGAGACUGGAAUUCCUGGUGUAGCGGUGAAAUGCGCAGAUAUCAGGAAGAACACCGACGGCGAAGGCAGCUCGCUGGGACGGUACUGACGCUGAGGCGCGAAAGCGUGGGGAGCGAACAGG